GAUGUUUUCCCAGUGGGUGGGGGGCAGAGGGGACGGCAGGCUCUGCUGACAGAUGAUUCCUCUGCCCUCCACCCUCGUCCCCCAGAGAGCCCCAGGAGACGGGAAAGGUCCAGCAGAGGCCAAGGGCUCCAGAUGAGAUUCGCGGCAUUUUGCCCGAUUUCAAUCUAUCACACGUCCCCUGAGAGCUGUUCCUGAGCCUCCCACGCAUGCAGGACACGUACCGACUGAUAGCCCAGGGCAUGGCAACAUGCUUUUAGCGAACCUUCUCUUGUGUCCAGGCUCUCAGGGUGAGAUAGAAAAAGUGGAGACGGGCUCCUCGCCCUUGGGAGCUCGGCCGGCACUCCCCCCACAAGCCCAGAGCAAAGAGACGGUGGGAUUGUGCGGCAAAAACGAGUUCCGAAGAGAAUUGGGUUGGAGGCGCCAGACCCAGAUUGGUCUCGGCGUUGGGAUUCAGCUGUCGUGUGACCUUGGCCACUGA
rnacentral:lncRNA from 1 species